UUUUGUAACACUGGUGCUGGACUGAGGCCUAAUGGCACCCGUUUUAUAAAACUCAAGAAGGCAGCUGCAAGGAGAAAAUGGUGUCAAGGAGCCAGCUCAGCAGGACUCCACAUGGUGCAGAGGAGAGCACUCCAAAGCAUCAAAAUGUGUUGCCAUGCAAUUUGGACUAGAAAACUAAAAUGUGGGUAUACUGGGUGUACCAUGUAACUAAAUGGCAUGAAAACUUUCAAAAGACAGUAUGUCACACAAAGAUGUUCGAAUGUUUUUUACAUGCGCAUGUGACUUUGUCAGAUUCUUUGCAUCUGCAUUGGGCAGACCAUAAGGUAUUUUAACAAGUGCCGCAAUGAACACCAAUGAGUUAUUAGGGCAGCAAUGUACUCGCAUUUGACAGUGCACUAAUACUACCAGCUUUGGAUCCAACCGAAUGGGAGCUAUGAUACGCCACUGUACUGCCUUGACACCGAGCGGAGAUAAUGUUGGACAACCACGGCAAGAUGCGCGUUUAGAAAAAGGGGGGUGCAGCCCAUCCAUGAAUAACUAUGUGAAAUAUUAUAACCAAAACUAGACGGUGCGGCCUUACACGAAAAUAUACAACACAUUUCUAAAUAUACUGUAUACUCUGUCAGGAGCAUCCAUACGCUACAUAGGAUGUUAUCAAACGAGCUGCUGUCUUGAAAGUAAUUUGCGCAUGAAAAAACUUUUCCUGCACAAAUACUUUACCAGCCUCAUGCUUAGGAGCUCAUCUGAUAACCUAUGGUAUAUAGGUACACGAGUUUAGUGCUUGAAAUGCGUUUUCUGACCAGUAAUGUGGUGCAUCUUUCUCUUCAAUCGUAGUGCCAAUACUUCGCGAGUAUGCGCAUGUGUGUUGUUUGUUUGAUUUUACAUUGUAUACUUUCAUUUUUUAAAUGUCAA